GGCUGUUCAAGACAGCAGCCAGAACAUACCUAGUCGCCUAUGCUAGUUGGCAACUUACGUCACCGCAUAUGUGGACGAACUUAGACCUAAACAUCAAAGGCAAAAUUGGUUCCAAAGCGGGAAGGGAAAAGGUCGUCCACAAGACUUGCCAAAAGUGUGCUCAAAACCACCAUUUAUUGGCGUCUGUCAUCCGCUAGAGGCGGCUUGGUAUUACGAAAAGAGUGAGAACAGCUGUAAGUUGCUCCACCGUGGCACUUGCGCUGGGGGCAACAACCUCUUCCCCACAUUGAAUCGAUGCAGGAAGGAAUGCAUACCCCUAACUCCGAAAAAUUCAAAGAUAUGCCUUCAACGACCAGUCAUCGGCUCCUGCGCACCUAUAAUUGUGGCUUGGUUUUAUGACGAACGAAGCAGGUACUGCAAAAUGUUCAACCACACAAUUUGCGGUGGAGGCGGCAACUCAUUCCUGACUGAACUCAAGUGCCAGGCAACUUGCCGACCGGAAAAAAAGCCCAAGGCCUUCUGCAGCUUGCCGCCAAGUCCAGGGAUGUGCUUUUUGGCCAAGCGUAAAUGGUACUUUGACGAGAGAGAAAAUUUAUGUCGCGUAUUUCUUAACGGAAAAUGCGGAAGUAAUGACAACGCUUUCGCAACGAAGGAGAAGUGCUUGGAAAGAUGCAGUUAUAACAAAGCAACUUCAACCUGUGUGAACUGCGAGCAAACGCAUAAAAGUGAGCUACCUCAACAAACAUCCCCGGCCAACCCGGCCAAGCCGGCCAGCCCCUCCAACCCAUGAGCAACGGACAUCCCUCUCUAUAGGCCACACAAUUUACCAAGCCCACCUGCAGUCCUCAAGAAACCACUUCCAGGGGCAGUACCUACCUUGCCCGGCAUUGCCACACCUCUGCCAGCAGGAAGAAUGCCUCGAUAACUCUGUCAGCACUACCCGUAAACGACGAAGACUGCUCGCAUCUUCUUGAUUGGGACUAUUGAUUAUGAGAAUGUUGUGACGCAAGUGCUACAGUAAUAAAACAAAGGAUUGUGGCCAAACUAACCUUGCAGUGUAAAUAACAGUAUAAAAGUUCUAGAAAUGAUACCAGAAUGGUGUAUCAAUGUAAAAGCAAUGAUUGUUUUAUGGUUUCUUGGCGCUGACACGCCAAUGAAACGUU